GUGCUCUGUCUGUAACCUGUCAGGUGGUCUGAUGCUGUCAGGUGAUCUGUCUGUAACCUGGCAGGUGAUCUGUCUGUAACCUGCCAGGUGAUCUGUCUGUAACCUGGCAGGUGAUCUGUCUGUAACCUGGCAGGUGAUCUGUCUGUAACCUGCCAGGUGAUCUGUCUGUAACCUGCCAGGUGAUCUGUCUGUAACCUGCCAGGAGAUCUGUCUGUAACCUGCCAGGUGAUCUGUCUGUAACCUGCCAGGUGAUCUGUCUGUAACCUGUCAGGUGAUCUGUCUGUAACCUGUCAGGUGAUCUGUCUGUAACCUGUCAGGUGAUCUGUCUGUAACCUGCCAGGUGGUCUGUCUGUAACCUGCCAGGUGAUCUGUCUGUAACCUGCCAGGUGGUCUGAUGCUGUCAGGUGAUCUGUCUGUAACCUGCCAGGUGAUCUGUCUGUAACCUGCCAGUUGCUCUGUCUGUAACCUGCCAGGUGGUCUGUCUGUAACCUG
rnacentral:lncRNA from 1 species